CCCUUAGACGUUCUGGGCCGCACGCGCGCUACACUGACGGAGCCAGCGAGUAUAAACCUUGGCCGAGAGGUCUGGGAAAUCUUGUGAAACUCCGUCGUGCUGGGGAUAGAGCAUUGUAAUUAUUGCUCUUCAACGAGGAAUUCCUAGUAAGCGCAAGUCAUCAGCUUGCGUUGAUUACGUCCCUGCCCUUUGUACACACCGCCCGUCGCUACUACCGAUUGAAUGGCUUAGUGAGGCUUCCGGAUUGGUUUAGAGAAGGGGGCAACUCCAUCUUGGAACAGAGAAGCUAGUCAAACUUGGUCAUUUAGAGGAAGUAAAAGUCGUAACA
rnacentral:rRNA from 1 species